rnacentral:lncRNA from 1 species
CUAAAAAUUACCAUUCAUUUGGAGGCUCUCCUUCAUUCUCUGUUAACCUCAUAUUCCUGUAGCUAACUCUCCAUAUGGACUCCGAGUUGAGUGUGUUGUGUAACAAGUUUCAUUCAAUUUCCCCAUCCAAGUUAUGAAGCCCACUGACAUCAGAACUACACUGUUCUCUAAGAUGCUAGAAUGACCAGAGUGGUUGUAUUAGAAACCUCAAGUAAGACAAGCAAUGUGUCCAAAGAAUCACUUAUGAAAAAUGGAAAAACUGAUGAAGAAAACACAAAUAACCAGGAAAAACAAACAGUAGCAGCUGGCACAAUACCUAGUGGACAAAGUAAAGCUCUGCCAACAGCCAAAGGACUAUAAUUCAGAGCUCUUGCCCAUCAAAGUAUACAGUACAGCUUUGCGUUUCCUCAAAAUAUGAACUAAGAAAAAUUAAAACCUUAAAGGUGAUAAGUGAGUGAAAAUGCAUUCUAGGGUCAAAAAUGUUGGGAGGCACUGAGAUAAAUUCAUUAAAACAAAUUGCUUUUUGACUAUUCUCAAUAUUUUUAAUUUUACAGUAUGA